rnacentral:rRNA from 1 species
CCUACGGGAGGCAGCAGUGAGGAAUAUUGGUCAAUGGGCGCGGGCCUGAACCAGCCAAGUAGCGUGAAGGAUGACUGCCCUACGGGUUGUAAACUUCUUUUAUAAAGGACUAAAGUGAGGCACGUGUGCCUUUUUGUAUGUACUUUAUGAAUAAGGAUCGGCUAACUCCGUGCCAGCAGCCGCGGUCAUACGGAGGAUCCGAGCGUUAUCCGGAUUUAUUGGGUUUAAAGGGAGCGUAGAUGGGUUGUUAAGUCAGUUGUGAAAGUUUGCGGCUCAACCGUAAAAUUGCAAUUGAUACUGGCAGCCUUGAGUACAGUUGAGGUAGGCGGAAUUCGUGGUGUAGCGGUGAAAUGCUUAGAUAUCACGAAGAACUCCGAUUGCGAAGGCAGCUUACGAAACUGCCACUGACAUUGAUGCUCGAAAGUGUGGGUAUCAAACAGGAUUAGAUACCCUAGUAGUC